rnacentral:rRNA from 1 species
AUUGAACGCUGGCGGCAGGCUUAACACAUGCAAGUCGAGCGAGCGGCGGACGGGUGCGUAAUGUCUGGGAACCUGCCUGCUGGAUGGGGAUCACUCCUGGAAACGGUAGCUAAUACCGCAUACCAUCAGAUGUGCCCAGAUGGGAUUAGCUAGUAGGUGGGGUAAUUGCUCACCUAGUCGACGAUCCCUAGCUGGUCUGAGAGGAUGACCAGUCACCCAGGAACUGAGACACGGUCCAGACUCCUACGGGAGGCAGCAGUGGGGAAUAUUGCACAAUGGGCGCAAGCCUGAUGCAGCCAUGCCGCGUGUGUGAAGAAGGCCUUCGGGUUGUAAAGCACUUUCAGCGAGGAGGCGUUACUCGCAGAAGAAGCACCGGCUAACUCCGUGCCAGCAGCCGCGGUAAUAC